CCUACGGGUGGCAGCAGUGGGGAAUAUUGGGCAAUGGGCGCAAGCCUGACCCAGCAACGCCGCGUGAAGGAAGAAGGCUUUCGGGUUGUAAACUUCUUUUCUCAGGGACGAAGCAAGUGACGGUACCUCAGGAAUAAGCCACGGCUAACUACGUGCCAGCAGCCGCGGUAAUACGUAGGUGGCAAGCGUUAUCCGGAUUUACUGGGUGUAAAGGGCGUGUAGGCGGGAAAGCAAGUCAGAUGUGAAAACCAUGGGCUCAACCUGGGGCCUGCAUUUGAAACUGUUUUUCUUGAGUACUGGAGAGGCAGACGGAAUUCCGAGUGUAGCGGUGAAAUGCGUAGAUAUCAGGAGGAACACCAGUGGCGAAGGCGGUCUGCUGGACAGUAACUGACGCUGAGGCGCGAAAGCGUGGGGAGCAAACAGGAUUAGAUACCCCUGUAGUC
rnacentral:rRNA from 1 species